GCUACCACGCGAGUGGAUGCCAAUCCCUAAAACCCCUCUCAGUUCGGACUGGAGUCUGCAACCCGACUCCACGAAGCUGGAUUCGCUAGUAAUCGCGCAUCAGCCACGGCGCGGUGAAUACGUUCCCGGGCCUUGUACACACCGCCCGUCAAGCCAUGGGAGCCGGGGUACCUGAAGUGCGUAACCGCGAGGAUCGCCCUAGGGUAAAACUGGUGACUGGGGCUAAGUCGUAACAAGGUAAC
rnacentral:rRNA from 1 species